GUCUGCAACUCGACUACAUGAAGCUGGAAUCGCUAGUAAUCGCAGAUCAGAAUGCUGCGGUGAAUACGUUCCCGGGUCUUGUACACACCGCCCGUCACACCAUGGGAGUCGGGAAUGCCCGAAGUCAGUGACCCAACCGAAAGGGGGGAGCUGCCGAAGGCAGGCCUGGUAACUGGGGUGAAGUCGUAACAAGGUACC
rnacentral:rRNA from 1 species